ensembl:miRNA xtr-mir-30c-1 xtr-mir-30c-1
ACCAUGCAGCAGUGAUUGUAAACAUCCUACACUCUCAGCUGUGAACAUAAGGUGGCUGGGAGAAGGGUGUUUACUCCCCCUGCCAUGGA